rnacentral:rRNA from 1 species
UACAGAGGGGGCAAGCGUUGUUCGGAAUUACUGGGCGUAAAGGGCGCGUAGGCGGCCUUCUAAGUCGAACGUGAAAUCCCCGGGCUCAACCCGGGAACUGCGUCCGAUACUGGAAGGCUUGAAUCCGGGAGAGGGAUGCGGAAUUCCAGGUGUAGCGGUGAAAUGCGUAGAUAUCUGGAGGAACACCGGUGGCGAAGGCGGCAUCCUGGACCGGUAUUGAUGCUGAGGCGCGAAAGCCAGGGGAGCAAACGGG